AACGAACGCUGGCGGCAUGCCUAACACAUGCAAGUCGAACGAGACCUUCGGGUCUAGUGGCGCACGGGUGCGUAACGCGUGGGAACCUGCCCUUAGGUUCGGAAUAACUCCCCGAAAGGGGUGCUAAUACCGGAUAAUGUCUUCGGACCAAAGAUUUAUCGCCUUUGGAUGGGCCCGCGUUGGAUUAGCUAGUUGGUAGGGUAAAAGCCUACCAAGGCGACGAUCCAUAGCUGGUCUGAGAGGAUGAUCAGCCACACUGGGACUGGGACACGGCCCAGACUCCUCGGGGAGGCAGCAGGGGGGAAUUUUGGACAAGGGGCGAAAGCCUAACCCAGCAAUGCCGGGUGGGUGAGGAAGGCUUUAGGGUUGAAAAGCUCUUUUACCCGGGAUGAUAAUGCCGGUCCGGGGAAAAGAAGCCCCGGCUAACUCCGU
rnacentral:rRNA from 1 species